UCCCUGGUGGCUCAGAGAGUAAAGAAUCUGCCUGCAAUGCAGGAGACCCUGGUUCAAUUCCUGGGUAGUGAA
rnacentral:tRNA from 1 species